GAAAGUAAACAAGGGCGCAUGGCGGAUGCCUUGGCUCUCGGAGGCGAUGAAGGACGUGAUAAGCUGCGAUAAGCUCCGGGGAGGUGCAAAUAACCUUUGAUCCGGGGAUUUCCGAAUGGGACAACCCGGCGUGUUGAAGACACGCCACCUGAUCAUUUCAGGAGCUAACGCAGGGAACUGAAACAUCUUAGUACCUGCAGGAAAAGAAAAUAACAAUGAUUCCCCCAGUAGUGGCGAGCGAACGGGGAAUAGCCCAAACCGUUCAUGUUACGGCAUGAUCGGGGUUGUAGGACUACGUCGUUGCAUGAAGACAUCGGAGAAGAACUUUCUGGAAAGAAAGACCAUAGAGCAUGACAGUUGCGUAUUCGUAUGUUGUCGAAGCAUAGUAGUAUCCUGAGUAGCGCGGAGCACGAGGAAUUCUGCGUGAAUCUGCCGGGACCAUCCGGUAAGGCUAAAUACUCCCGAGAGACCGAUAGCGAACCAGUACCGUGAGGGAAAGGUGAAAAGCACUUCGAACAGAAGAGUGAAAUAGUUCCUGAAACCGUGCGCCUACAAGCGGUCGGAGCUCAGCAAUGAGUGACGGCGUGCCUUUUGCAUAAUGAACCUACGAGUUGCCUUUGCCGGCAAGGUUAAGUGUGACGACACACGUAUCCGAAGCGAAAGCGAGUCUGAAGAGGGCGUAUAGUCGGCAGUGGCAGACGCGAAACCAAGUGAUCUACCCUUGGCCAGGUUGAAGGCUGGGUAACACCAGCUGGAGGACCGCACCAAUAAGCGUUGAAAAGCUUCUGGAUGAGCUGAGGGUAGGGGUGAAAGGCUAAUCAAACUUGGAGAUAGCUCGUACUCCCCGAAAUGCAUUUAGGUGCAGCCUUGCGGGUUACUGAUGUGAGGUAGAGCGACUGAUAAGAUGCGAGGGCUUCACCGCCUAUCAAGUCUUGACAAACUCCGAAUGCGCAUCAGUUCUACCGCAGGAGUGAGGGCAUGGGUGCUAAGGUCCGUGCCCGAGAGGAGAAGAAUCCGGACCACCUGCUAAGGUCCCGAAAUGACAGCUAAGUUAAACUAACGAAGUCUGACUGCUAAGACAGCUAGGAUGUUGGCUUGGAAGCAGCCAUUCAUUUAAAGAGUGCGUAACAGCUCACUAGUCGAGGAGUCGGGCGUGGAUAAUAAUCGGGUAUCAAGUUGUCUACCGAAGCAGUGGGAUCAUUUAUAUGAUCGGUAGGGGAGCAUUCCAGUCAGCGUCGAAGGCGUACCGUGAGGUAUUCUGGAGCGUCUGGAAAAGCAAAUGUAGGUAUAAGUAACGAUAAAGGGGGCGGGAAACCCCCUCGCCGAAAGACUAAGGUUUCCUGAUCAACGCUAAUCGGAUCAGGGUCAGUCGGGUCCUAAGGCUCAGCCGAACGGCGAUGCCGAUGGCAGAAACGGUUAAUAUUCCGUUACUACCUUCAGGAGUGACGUGGAGACGCAGUAGUGACAGUGCCGCCAUCUGACGGAAUAGAUGGUUGAAGGGUGUAGGAGUCGAUCAUGGCAGGCAAAUCCACCAUGAGAUCCGAACCUGAGAGUAUGCCGCGUCCUUCGGGACAAGGCAAUAGUGCGCGUAAGCAUGCUGCCGAGAAAAUCCGCUAAACUUAAUCCUGCAGGUACCCGUACCGCAAACGGACACACGUAGUCGGGAUGAAUAUUCUAAGGCGCUUGAGUGAUUCACGGUUAAGGAACUAGGCAAACUGACCCUGUAACUUCGGGAUAAAGGGUCCCUACCCGGUGACGGGAGGGCGCAGAGAAUAGGUCCAGGCAACUGUUUAACAAAAACACAGGGCUGUGCUAAAUCGAAAGAUCCUGUAUACAGCCUGACACCUGCCCGGUGCUGGAAGGUUAAGAGGAGACGUCAUCGUUGAGAGAAGCGUUGAAUUGAAGCCCCAGUAAACGGCGGCCGUAACUAUAACGGUCCUAAGGUAGCGAAAUUCCUUGUCGGGUAAGUUCCGACCUGCACGAAUGGUGUAAUGAUCUGGACGCUGUCUCAACCGUGAGCUCAGUGAAAUUGUAGUA
rnacentral:rRNA from 1 species